rnacentral:ncRNA from 1 species
CUGCAGCCAGGGCAGGCCCUAACAGGACAGCCUGGACACUGCUAGCCGGUAGUGUGGUGUCGGAAAAACACCGGCAGCC